rnacentral:rRNA from 1 species
AACGAACGCUGGCGGCAUGCCUAACACAUGCAAGUCGAACGAAGCCUUCGGGCUUAGUGGCGCACGGGUGCGUAACGCGUGGGAAUCUGCCCUUUGGUUCGGAAUAACAAUUGGAAACGACUGCUAAUACCGGAUGAUGACGAAAGUCCAAAGAUUUAUCGCCAGAGGAUGAGCCCGCGUAGGAUUAGCUAGUUGGUGUGGUAAAGGCGCACCAAGGCGACGAUCCUUAGCUGGUCUGAGAGGAUGAUCAGCCACACUGGGACUGAGACACGGCCCAGACUCCUACGGGAGGCAGCAGUGGGGAAUAUUGGACAAUGGGCGAAAGCCUGAUCCAGCAAUGCCGCGUGAGUGAUGAAGGCCCUAGGGUUGUAAAGCUCUUUUACCCGGGAUGAUAAUGACAGUACCGGGAGAAUAAGCCCCGGCUAACUCCGUGCCAGCCGCCGCCGUAACAC